rnacentral:rRNA from 1 species
AGAACGAACGCUGGCGGCAUGCCUAAUACAUGCAAGUCGAACGAACUCUUCGGAGUUAGUGGCGCACGGGUGCGUAACGCGUGGGAAUCUGCCCCUUGGUUCGGAAUAACAGUUGGAAACGACUGCUAAUACCGGAUGAUGACGAAAGUCCAAAGAUUUAUCGCCAAGGGAUGAGCCCGCGUAGGAUUAGCUAGUUGGUGAGGUAAAGGCUCACCAAGGCAACGAUCCUUAGCUGGUCUGAGAGGAUGAUCAGCCACACUGGGACUGAGACACGGCCCAGACUCCGUACGGGAGGCAGGCAGGUAGGGAAUA